GGCUAUUGCCGCUGCCGCUUCCACCGCAGUGUGAAGAAAAAGGGUCUGAAACAAAGUCUUACCAACGUCUGCUUUUGAACACAGUGACUGCUGGAUCUUUAAACAUCAAGUUCAGCUUUGUCUGUCAACCUGUCUGACAUGUCGGGACCCGUGCCAAGCAGGGCCAGAGUUUACACAGAUGUUAACACACACAGACCCCGAGAGUACUGGGAUUAUGAAUCACAUGUGGUGGAAUGGGGGAAUCAAGAUGACUACCAGCUUGUUCGAAAAUUAGGUAGGGGCAAAUACAGUGAAGUGUUUGAAGCCAUCAACAUCACAAAUAAUGAAAAAGUUGUUGUUAAAAUUCUCAAGCCAGUAAAAAAGAAGAAAAUUAAGCGUGAAAUAAAGAUUUUGGAGAAUUUGAGAGGUGGGCCCAACAUCAUCACACUUGCAGACAUUGUAAAAGACCCUGUGUCACGAACCCCUGCCUUGGUUUUUGAACAUGUAAACAACACAGACUUCAAGCAAUUGUACCAGACGUUAACAGACUAUGACAUUCGAUUUUACAUGUAUGAAAUUCUGAAAGCCCUGGAUUAUUGUCACAGCAUGGGGAUUAUGCACAGAGAUGUGAAACCCCAUAAUGUCAUGAUUGAUCAUGAGCACAGAAAGCUUCGGCUAAUAGACUGGGGUUUAGCUGAGUUUUACCAUCCAGGCCAAGAGUAUAAUGUCCGAGUUGCUUCUCGAUAUUUCAAAGGUCCAGAGCUACUUGUAGAUUAUCAGAUGUACGAUUAUAGUUUGGAUAUGUGGAGCUUGGGUUGUAUGCUGGCCAGUAUGAUCUUCCGGAAGGAGCCAUUUUUCCAUGGACAUGACAAUUAUGAUCAGUUGGUGAGGAUAGCCAAGGUUCUGGGAACAGAAGAUUUAUAUGACUAUAUUGACAAGUACAACAUUGAAUUAGAUCCACGUUUCAACGAUAUCUUGGGCAGACACUCCCGUAAGCGAUGGGAACGCUUUGUCCACAGUGAAAACCAGCAUCUUGUCAGCCCUGAGGCCUUGGAUUUUCUGGACAAGCUGCUUCGAUAUGACCACCAGUCACGGCUCACUGCAAGAGAGGCCAUGGAGCACCCUUACUUCUACACUGUUGUGAAGGACCAGGCUCGAAUGAGUUCCACUAGCAUGGCAGGGGGCAGCACACCUGUCAGCAGCGCCAAUAUGAUGUCAGGGAUUUCUUCAGUGCCAACUCCUUCACCCCUUGGACCUCUGGCAGGCUCACCAGUGAUUGCCGCUGCCAACUCACUUGGGAUACCUGUUCCAGCUGCUGCUGGCGCUCAGCAGUAAUGACCCCCAUCUACCUUCUGAUGCCUGAGCAGAGGUGGGGAAGUCCACCCUCUCCUCGAUGCAGCUUGCGCCUGGUUGGGAGGGGUGAGAACACUUCAGAAGCACCGUGUCUGAACCGUUGCUUGUGGAUUUAGUAGUUGAGUCAUAAAAAAAAAAUUAUAGGC